GUGUUCACUUUGGCAGCACAUAUACUAAAAAAUCUCUAACAAUACAGAAGAUCAGCAUGGUACCUCCACAAGGAUAAGAGGCAAAUUCGUAAAGCACUCCAUAUUAAA
ensembl:snRNA U6 U6 spliceosomal RNA